GACGGGGGGGGCAAGUGUUCUUCGGAAUGACUGGGCGUCAAGGGCACAUAGGCGGUGAAUCGGGUUGAAAGUGAAAGUCGCCAAAAAGUGGCGGAAUGCUCUCGAAACCAAUUCACUUGAGUGGGACAGAGGAGAGUGGAAUUUCGUGUGUAGGGGUGAAAUCCGUAGAUCUACGAAGGAAGGCCAAAAGCGAAGGCAGCUCUCUGGGUCCCUACCGACGCUGGGGUGCGAAAGCAUGGGGAGCGAACAGG
rnacentral:rRNA from 1 species